GUUAGGAAUAUUGGACAAUGGGCGCAAGCCUGAUCCAGCCAUGCCGCGUGAGUGAUGAAGGCCUUCGGGUUGUAAAGCUCUUUAGCCGAUGAUUAUAAUGACUGUAGUCGGAAAAUAAGCCCCGGCUAACUUCGUGCCAGCAGCCGCGGUAAUACGAAGGGGGCGAGCGUUAUUCGGAAUCACUGGGCGUAAAGCGUGCGUAUGCGGCUUUGCAAGUUGGGAGUGAAAGCCCAGGGCUCAACCCUGGAAUUGCUCUCAAAACUGCAAGGCUCGAAUUCGGGAGAGGAUAGCGGAAUUGUCAGUGUAGCAGUGAAAUGCGUAGAUAUUGACAGGAACACCAGUGGCGUAAGCGGCUAUCUGGACCGAUAUUGACGCUGAGGCACGAAAGCGUGGGGAUCAAACAGGAUUAGAAACCCUGGUAGUCC
rnacentral:rRNA from 1 species